CCGGUGUAAACACAUUCUUUUCAUCAACAACUUCAGGCAUCUGUUGAGCUACCUUUAUUAUCUUACAAAAGUUAAAGAGGAGAGACUGAACGUAUUGGAAAAAGCGUGAGCAAAAUCUGUAGAGGAUUAAAGUGGGAGAGUGGGGAGCAGUUCAUAAAAGCAUUUUGUUUGAGGGGGGUUUUCAAAAAGAUGAUGAUGAAAGCCAUCUGAAAAUGGCAUGAGCACGAGCUUAAUAACAAGCUACAGACAAGCAGAUGGUUGUUUUGGUGAAGAGCUGUUUAGGCUCUAGAAUUAAAAUAUAGCAAAUUCUUGGCAAUGGAAAGUACUCUUUGAUAAGUGAUCUGAAUGACA